rnacentral:misc_RNA from 1 species
AAGUCGUAACAAGGUUUCCGUAGGUGAACCUGCGGAAGGAUCAUUAAUGAAAUGAUAAUUUUUUGGGGUUUUUCCCUGAAAAAUAAUUCACCUUUUGUGCAUUGUUAUUAGAUAUACUUUGGUUAGAGCUUUGAUUUCAUUUUUUGAAAUCAACUUCUUGCUGACUCUAUCCUGUUAAGAACAGUUGGCUAUGAAGCGGCCUACCAAGGUUUUUUUAUCAAACUCAUUUAAUUUAUCUGACCUAAACUACUAUAAUAAAAUCAUAACUUUCAACAACGGAUCUCUUGGCUCUC